CCUACGGGAGGCAGCAGUGGGGAAUAUUGCACAAUGGGGGAAACCCUGAUGCAGCGACGCCGCGUGAGGGAAGAAGGAAUUCGUUAUGGAAAGCUCUAUCAGCAGGGGAGAAAAUGACGGUACCUGAGUAAGAAUCCCCGGCUAACUACGUGCCAGCAGCCGCGGUAAUACGUAGGGGGCAAGCGUUAUCCGGAGUUACUGGGUGUAAAGGGAGCGUAGACGGCAGCGUAAGUCUGGAGUGAAAUUGCGGGGCCCAACCCCGGAACUGCUCUUGAAACUGUGAAGCUGGAGUUCAGGCGAGGUAGGCGGAAUUCGUGGUGUAGCGGUGAAAUGCUUAGAUAUCACGAAGAACUCCGGUGGCGAAGGCAGCUUACUGGACUGUAACUGACGUUGAGGCUCGAAGGCGUGGGGAGCAAACAGGAUUAGAUACCCUUGUAGUC
rnacentral:rRNA from 1 species